ACACGACUACAUUAGAUACCCCUGUAGUCCUAGCCGUAAACGAUACUCGCUAGGUGUCGGCCACGGUGCGACCGUUGUCGGUGCCGUAGGGAAGCCGUGAAGCGAGCCACCUGGGAAGUACGGCCGCAAGGCUGAAACUUAAGGAAUUGGCGGGGGAGCACAACAACGGGUGGAGCUUGCGGUUUAAUUGGAUUCAACGCCGGAAAUCUUACCGGGACCGACAGCAACAUGAAGGCCAAGCUGAAGACUUUGCCGGAUUAGCUG
rnacentral:rRNA from 1 species